GUGCUUGUUCUGGCAGCACAUAUACUAAAAUUGGAACAACACAGAGAAGAUUAGUAUGGCUCCUGCACCAGGAUGACACAAAUUCAUGAAGCAUUCCACAUUAAA
rnacentral:snRNA from 1 species